GCUAGUAUAGUGUAUAGUGGUGCUGUCUUUGGAUCCAAGAAGUAGAGGUUCAAAUCCUCUUUCUAGCU
rnacentral:tRNA from 1 species